UGGCUCAGUUGGUAGAGCAUGUGAUUCUUGAUCUCAGGGUUAUGAGUUCGAGCCCCAU
rnacentral:tRNA from 1 species